GUCAGUUCGGCUGGAUCGGUGACAGGUGGUGCAUGGCUGUCGUCAGCUCGUGUCGUGAGAUGUUGGGUUAAGUCCCGCAACGAGCGCAACCCUUGUCCUUAGUUGCCACCAUUCAGUUGGGCACUGUAAGGAGACUGCCGGUGUUAAACCGGAGGAAGGUGGGGAUGACGUCAAGUCCUCAUGGCCCUUAUAUCCAGGGCUACACACGUGCUACAAUGGCCGGUACAAAGGGUCGCAAUACCGCGAGGUGGAGCUAAUCCCAAAAAGCCGGUCUCAGUUCGGAUUGGAGUCUGCAACUCC
rnacentral:rRNA from 1 species